rnacentral:snRNA from 1 species
UUGUUUCUUCAGCAACACAUAUACUAAAGUCAGGCCUAUACAAAGAUUGGCAUGACCUCUGAGCAAGGAUGACGCAUAUUUGUGAAGUGAUUCAUAUUUUU